rnacentral:rRNA from 1 species
GCUAGUAAUCGUAGAUCAGCCAUGCUACGGUGAAUACGUUCCCGGGUCUUGUACUCACCGCCCGUCACACCAUGGAAGUUGAUCUCACUCGAAGCAGGGAUGCUAAAAUAGCUACCUUCCACAGUGGUAUCAGUAACUGGGGUGAAGUCGUAACAAGGUAACCGUAGGAGAACCUGCGGUUGGAUCACCUCCUUU